AACGAACGCUGGCGGCAUGCCUAACACAUGCAAGUCGAACGAGACCUUCGGGUCUAGUGGCGCACGGGUGCGUAACGCGUGGGAACCUGCCCUUAGGUUCGGAAUAACUCCCCGAAGGGGUUGUAAUACCCGGUAAAGUUCUCGGACCAAAGAUUUAUCGCCUUUGGAUGGGCCCGCGUUGGAUUAGCUAGUUGGUAGGGUAAAAGCCUACCAAGGCGACGAUCCAUAGCUGGUCUGAGAGGAUGAUCAGCCACACUGGGACUGAGACACGGCCCAGACUCCUACGGGAGGCAGCAGUGGGGAAUAUUGGACAAUGGGCGAAAGCCUGAUCCAGCAAUGCCGCGUGAGUGAUGAAGGCCUUAGGGUUGUAAAGCUCUUUUACCCGGGAUGAUAAUGACAGUACCGGGAGAAUAAGCUCCGGCUAACUCCGUG
rnacentral:rRNA from 1 species